UGACGGUACUUGACUAAGAAGCUCCGGCUAAAUACGUGCCAGCAGCCGCGGUAAUACGUAUGGAGCAAGCGUUAUCCGGAUUUACUGGGUGUAAAGGGAGCGUAGACGGCAAAGCAAGUCUGAAGUGAAAUCCCGGGGCUCAACCCCGGAACUGCUUUGGAAACUGUUUAGCUAGAGUGCAGGAGAGGUAAGCGGAAUUCCUAGUGUAGCGGUGAAAUGCGUAGAUAUUAGGAGGAACACCAGUGGCGAAGGCGGCUUACUGGACGGUAACUGACGUUGAGGCUCGAAAGCGUGGGGAGCAAACAGGAUUAGAUACCCUG
rnacentral:rRNA from 1 species